CUGGCUCCAGGUCUAGCUCGGAGCCAGCCGGAGCGUCUCGGCCACUUGAGUCUCCUAGUUGAGCAAAACCUUUCGGCCCCGACCGCCGCCCCGCGGCAUCGCCAAGGCCGGGGAGACCCGGGAAGGUAGGGAACCGGAAGCCGGGACUUGUCCGCGCGCGACUUAUUAGGUUACUGUCUUUCUGAAUGCGGUAUAAUGAGCACCAGGAUUAUCUGCUGUUAGCAGAGACUGGGAGGAUUGAAUGAAGGCAUUGUGGGUUCUGUGUUUAUCAAUCCUACUCAUACCACAUGGAGUGGGGAAUGAUUUCUACAAAGGCAAGGU